rnacentral:rRNA from 1 species
UAGGGAAUCUUCCGCAAUGGGCGAAAGCCUGACGGAGCAACGCCGCGUGAGUGAUGAAGGUCUUCGGAUCGUAAAACUCUGUUAUUAGGGAAGAACAAAUGUGUAAGUAACUAUGCACGUCUUGACGGUACCUAAUCAGAAAGCCACGGCUAACUACGUGCCAGCAGCCGCGGUAAUACGUAGGUGGCAAGCGUUAUCCGGAAUUAUUGGGCGUAAAGCGCGCGUAGGCGGUUUUUUAAGUCUGAUGUGAAAGCCCACGGCUCAACCGUGGAGGGUCAUUGGAAACUGGAAAACUUGAGUGCAGAAGAGGAAAGUGGAAUUCCAUGUGUAGCAGUGAAAUGCGCAGAGAUAUGGAGGAACACCAGUGGCGAAGGCGACUUUCUGGUCUGUAACUGACGCUGAUGUGCGAAAGCGCGGGGAUCAAACAGG